AGCAGCCGCGGUAAUUCCAGCUCCAAUAGCGUAUAUUAAAGUUGCUGCAGUUAAAAAGCUCGUAGUUGAAUUUCGGGACUAAUAUGUCGGUCGUGCCUCGGUACGUACUGGUUUAUUGGUUUCUCCUUUCUGAAGAACCAUGAUGUCAUUUAUUUGGUGUCGUGGGGAAUCAGGACUGUUACUUUGAAAAAAUUAGAGUGUUUAAAGCAGGCUCACGCUUGAAUACAUUAGCAUGGAAUAAUGAAAUAGGACGUUUGAUUCUAUUUUGUUGGUUUCUAGGAUCGACGUAAUGAUUAAUAGGGAUAGUUGGGGGCAUUAGUAUUCAAUUGUCAGAGGUGAAAUUCUUGGAUUUAUUGAAGACUAACUACUGCGAAAGCAUUUGCCAAGGAUGUUUUCAUUAAUCAAGAACGAAAGUUAGGGGAUCGAAGACGAUCAGAUACCGUCGUAGUCUUAACCAUAAACUAUGCCGACUAGGGAUCGGAUGAUGUUAAUUUUUUU
rnacentral:misc_RNA from 1 species